GAGGUUUCAGCCCAGCACCAGCUCAUGCGGGAGGAGCAGAUGCUGAGGAACAUCCCCCACGAGACGCAGGUGGCCAAAGAGGCUGGGUCAGGAGAGUCCCAUUUCAUUCUUGAUGCUUUCUUUAAGAGAGGCAUACAACUGAGCUCCCUCAGAGAAGCAGCAUGAAGUGCAUGAAGGAUGCUGGCUGCACUCAGUACAGACAAGGCACAUUGGAGUAGGUUAACAAGAUGCUUGACAUUUGCCCUUAAUGGUCAUUGUCUUCAAAUGCAUCAUUCGGGAGUUAAGUUGCUUGGCAUUUGCAGUUGACUACUUCUUCUCUGGCCUUUGGAGUGAAGGAAGGGAAAAACCAGAGUUGAACACGUCAGCUCUGUAAGUUUUCUCUGGGUGAUCAAAGCAUGCACAAAAUCCUGUGCUUGUGCUCUGGAAGAUUGUAGGAGCUUCCCGGGGACUCAGGGAGCACAAGUUCUGAUAAAGAAAGAUGUGAAUGGAAGCAGGCUCUUACUCCUCUGUGUAACUGAUGAGAAGCUUUCUGAAGGAGGUGAAUUUGUUUUACAGCCCUUCACUCAGCUGGUUACAGAUCUUCAAGGUAGCUGCUGGUGCAGUGUCUCUUGGAGACUGUUAGCCACUCUGAAGGAGGGAGUUAGUGGAGCAUCAUAGGAACAUGUAGAGAGAUUGGUCAGGAAAAGGCAUUUGUGUUACCCUUUUUAGUCAUUUGAGUCACUUUUAUUGUAAUCCCAUGCCUGAGAGCAGGACUCCUUUGUGUCCAGGGUUAAAAUCUUCAAGGAGAAACAGUGCCAAGGCUCUGAAUUGAUUGGGACUUGGUGCUGCUAGUUACAGUGUAGGACAGUUAAGGCAGUCCUGUGUUUUGUGAUUUGCCUUUUUUCCUACCGUUCUAGUUUUGGCUCGGGCUAGUGUGAAGUGUCUCUGGAACGAGGUCCUUGUGGUCCCUUCUGACCCUGACUGAUUCUGUGAUUCCAGCAAGCAGCUUUUGCCUUAAAAACCCCUGAGGUCACUGCAGCACCUCUCUAUGGAAUAAAAGAAAGGGAUUUUGCUGCACUGCUGAGAA